CAAGGAAGAACAGCAAGCAGACACAACCGCAAGAUCUACUCUACGAGUUUCUCCAAACACACCAAUGAUUCACAAAUUCCUCAGUAAAUUCACCAAGACGUCACCUUGGAGUUGUUGGGUCCGUUGAGCGCAUUGGAGAGCUGGCUUCCUCAGUUAGUGGGUCCAUGACGAUGACUUCUAUUUUGCUUGAUCGGCCGUUUUACUGCCGUGUUACAGACUUUUGGGAAUAAUUAAAGAUUCACAAAUUCCUCAGUAAAUUCACCAAGGCUUCACCUUGGAGUUGUUGGGUCCGUUGAGCGGAUUGGAGAGCAGGCUUCCUCAGCUAGUGGGUCCAUGACGAUGACUUCUGUUUUGCUUGAUCGGACGUUUUACUGCCGUGUUACAGACUUUU